UUUCUGUGUAACUCUCAGUAGAAGCCUGUUUUAGUCUAGAUUUUAACUUAUUAAACUCAAGAUAAUUAUUCAUAGUUUCUCAAUUGAAAAUAAUCUUGUAUCGCUCUUCCAGAACCCUGAAGAAGGUUUUGAAUAAACCGAAACGUCGGCAUAAUAUGAACUUGAUUGUCCUUUUUCUGGCCGUAUCCCAUCAAUUUUAUUCUCCAUAUAUCAAAUAGAAACAGAAGGCCAUAAACAUAUAUCAAUAAAUGUGAUCAGGUAUUGGUGGUGGUGAAUUUCUCGAAACUUAAACGCCCAUUUGGAAAAUAGUGGUUCGGCAUCAUUUCUUGUAUAAAUCUGUCAUUAACUAUACCACAUGUGUUGACCAUAGUCAACAUAGUAGUAUUUUUCAAUCAAUAAUUCAGUGUUAUAUUUUUCGACGUCGGAACGUAUGUUCACUUCGUUAACGUCUACAUAUUCUUCGAUCGACCCAGUUUCUCUCAUCGGAUCACGUAUUCAUCCGAACAGUUUCACAUUAGACCAGAUUCCGUAAUUGGUAUUUCAAUCGUCCGACAAAUGGUUUUAUUGAAAUUCAAAGAGAAUUCAGAUUAGCACCUUGGUAUGGAAACUGUGCCAGUAAAAGGCUAUUUCAUAACAUCUUCGAGGUCUAACUCAACUCGCAAAUCCCAUUAGGAGUGAGAUCAUAACAACGAGAAAUAUUUGAAGUUAUACCUGUAUAUAAUUAUACCUUGAAA